UGGGGGAUAUUGCACAAUGGGCGAAAGCCUGAUGCAGCGACGCCGCGUGGGGGAUGAAGGUCUUCGGGUUGUAAACUUCUUUUGCUCUGAACAAGGCAUGCCUUUGGGGUGUGUUGAGUGUAGGGGUUGAUUAGCGCCGGCUAACUACGUGCCAGCAGCCGCGGUAAUACGUAGGGCGCGAGCGUUGUCCGGAAUUAUUGGGCGUAAAGGGCUUGUAGGUGGCUGGUUGCGUCUGUCGUGAAAGCUCAUGGCUUAACUGUGGGUUUGCGGUGGGUACGGGCUGGCUUGAGUGCAGUAGGGGAGGCUGGAAUUCCUGGUGUAGCGGUGGAAUGCGCAGAUAUCAGGAGGAAUACCGGUGGCGAAGACGGGUCUCUGGGCUGUUACUGACGCUGAGGAGCGAAAGCGUGGGGAGCGAACAGG
rnacentral:rRNA from 1 species